rnacentral:rRNA from 1 species
UACGAGGGGGGCGAGCGUUGUUCGGAAUUAUUGGGCGUAAAGGGUGCGUAGGCGGUUCCGCAAGUCCUGUGUGAAAUCUUCGGGCUCAACUCGAAGUCUGCACGGGAAACUGCGGGGCUUGAGUGUGGGAGAGGUGAGUGGAAUUCCCAGUGUAGAGGUGAAAUUCGUAGAUAUUGGGAAGAACACCGGUGGCGAAGGCGGCUCACUGGCCCGUUACUGACGCUCAGGCGCGACAGCGUGGGGAUCAAACAGG